rnacentral:rRNA from 1 species
UCUGUUGGAACACAGCGUCAUAGAGGGUGACAACCCCGUUCAUGACAUGGAUACCAGUGCUUUGUGAUACACUCUCGAAGAGUCGAGUUGUUUGGGAAUGCAGCUCAAAUUGGGUGGUAAAUUCCAUCUAAAGCUAAAUAUUGGCGAGAGACCGAUAGCAAACAAGUACCGUGAGGGAAAGAUGAAAAGCACUUUGGAAAGAGAGUUAACAGUACGUGAAAUUGUUGAAAGGGAAACGAUUGAAGUCAGACGUGCGUGAUGCGGUUCAGCACUGGUUCGCCAGUGUGUAUUCCGUAUCUUUGCAGGCCAACAUCAGUUUCGGUAGUCGGAUAAAGGUUAGUUGAAUGUGGCACCUUCGGGUGUGUUAUAGCUUCUAACUGAAUACGAUUUCUGGGACUGAGGAACGCAGCGCGCCGCAAGGCAAAGGUUCCGACCUUUUCGCGCUUAGGAUGUUGGUGAAAUGGCUUUAAACGACCCGUCUUGAAAC